rnacentral:rRNA from 1 species
GGGGAAACCCACUUAGCAUAAGCUAGGUAUCGCUGCGUGAAUACAUAGCGUAGCGAGGCGAACCGGGAGAACUGAAACAUCUAAGUACCCCGAGGAAAAGAAAUCAACCGAGAUUCCCUCAGUAGCGGCGAGCGAACGGGGAUUAGCCCUUAAGCAUCUUGGAAGUUAGUGGAACGGUCCUGGAAAGGCCGGCGAUACAGGGUGAUAGCCCCGUACACGAAAACAACCUUGAUGUGAAAUCGAGUAGGGCGGGACACGUGACAUCCUGUCUGAAUAUGGGGGGACCAUCCUCCAAGGCUAAAUACUCCUGACUGACCGAUAGUGAACCAGUACCGUGAGGGAAAGGCGAAAAGAACCCCUGUGAGGGGAGUGAAAUAGAACCUGAAACCGUGUACGUACAAGCAGUGGGAGCCCUUCGGGGUGACUGCGUACCUUUUGUAUAAUGGGUCAGCGACUUACAUUUUGUAGCGAGGUUAACCGUAUAGGGGAGCCGUAGGGAAACCGAGUCUUAACUGGGCGUCUAGUUGCAAGGUGUAGACCCGAAACCGGGUGAUCUAGCCAUGGGCAGGUUGAAGGUUGAGUAACAUCAACUGGAGGACCGAACCCACUAACGUUGCAAAGUUAGGGGAUGACCUGUGGCUGGGGGUGAAAGGCCAAUCAAACUCGGAGAUAGCUGGUUCUCCCCGAAAGCUAUUUAGGUAGCGCCUCGGACGAAUACUACUGGGGGUAGAGCACUGUUUGGGCUAGGGGGUCAUCCCGACUUACCAACCCCAUGCAAACUCCGAAUACCAGUAAGUAAUAUCCGGGAGACACACGGCGGGUGCUAACGUCCGUCGUGAAGAGGGAAACAACCCAGACCGCCGGCUAAGGUCCCAAAGUUCUGGUUAAGUGGGAAACGAUGUGGGAAGGCUCAGACAGCUAGGAUGUUGGCUUAGAAGCAGCCAUCAUUUAAAGAAAGCGUAAUAGCUCACUAGUCGAGUCGGCCUGCGCGGAAGAUGUAACGGGGCUCAAACCAGGCACCGAAGCCGCGGAUUCACGCUAAGCGUGAGUGGUAGGGGAGCGUUCUGUAAGUCUGCGAAGGUGUGUCGAGAGGCAUGCUGGAGAUAUCAGAAGUGCGAAUGCUGACGUAAGUAACGAUAAAGGGGGUGAAAAGCCUCCUCGCCGGAAGACCAAGGGUUCCUGUCCAACGUUAAUCGGGGCAGGGUGAGUCGACCCCUAAGGCGAGGCCGAAAGGCGUAGUCGAUGGGAAGCAGGUUAAUAUUCCUGCACGACUUGUAAUUGCGAUGGGGGGACGGAGAAGGCUAGGUGGGCCAGGCGACGGUUGUCCUGGUGAAAGUGCGUAGGUGGUGUUUCUAGGCAAAUCCGGAGACACAACACUGAGACACGAGACGAACGCACUACGGUGCGGAAGCCAUUGAUGCCCUGCUUCCAGGAAAAGCCUCUAAGCUUCAGAUUACAAGUCAUCGUACCCCAAACCGACACAGGUGGUCGGGUAGAGAAUACCAAGGCGCUUGAGAGAACUCGGGUGAAGGAACUAGGCAAAAUAGAACCGUAACUUCGGGAGAAGGUUCGCUCUUGACAGUGAAGUCCCUUGCGGAUGGAGCAGUUGGGAGUCGCAGUGACCAGAUGGCUGGGACUGUUUAUCAAAAACACAGCACUCUGCAAACACGAAAGUGGACGUAUAGGGUGUGACACCUGCCCGGUGCCGGAAGGUUAAUUGAUGGGGUUAGCGCAAGCGAAGCUCUUGAUCGAAGCCCCGGUAAACGGCGGCCGUAACUAUAACGGUCCUAAGGUAGCGAAAUUCCUUGUCGGGUAAGUUCCGACCUGCACGAAUGGUGUAACCAUGGCCAUGCUGUCUCCACCCGAGACUCAGUGAAAUCGAAUUCGCCGUGAAGAUGCGGUGUACCCGCGGCUAGACGGAAAGACCCCGUGAACCUUUACUACAGCUUGGCACUGAACAUUGAACCUACAUGUGUAGGAUAGGUGGGAGGCUUUGAAGGCGUGACGCCAGUUGCGCUGGAGCCGUCCUUGAAAUACCACCCUUGUAUGU